UGUAUGCAAAAAACUAGGUGCAUC
rnacentral:siRNA from 1 species